rnacentral:rRNA from 1 species
UACGGAGGGUGCAAGCGUUGUUCGGAAUUACUGGGCGUAAAGAGCACGUAGGCGGAUAAGUGUGUCGAUUGUGAAAGCCCUGGGCUCAACCUGGGAACUGCAGUCGAAACUGCUUGUCUUGAAUACUUGAGAGGGUGGGGGAAUUCCUGGUGGAGAAGUGAAAUUCGUAGAUAUUAGGAGGAACACCGGAGGUGUAGACGCCUGCCUGGCAAGCUAUUGACGCUGAGGUGCGAAAGCAUGGGGAGCAAACAGG